CAGUCGCCGCGGGAAUACGGAGGGUGCAAGCGUUAAUCGGAAUUACUGGGCGUAAAGCGUGCGUAGGCGGUUUGUUAAGUCUGCUGUGAAAUCCCCGGGCUCAACCUGGGAAUGGCAGUGGAUACUGGCAAGCUAGAGUGUGUCAGAGGAUGGUGGAAUUCCCGGUGUAGCGGUGAAAUGCGUAGAGAUCGGGAGGAACAUCAGUGGCGAAGGCGGCCAUCUGGGACAACACUGACGCUGAGGCACGAAAGCGUGGGGAGCAAACAGGAUUAGAUACCCCAGUAGUCCCUGUCUCUUAUAC
rnacentral:rRNA from 1 species